AGGCCCCACCUUCCCGAAUAACUGCGGGAGGUGUGUGGAAACAGUGCAGAGACUUGUUAACAGGACCAGUUUUGUUUUGUUUGUUCUGUCUCGGAGACUGUAUCAAUAUCUAGAAAAAAGGAACCAGAAAAAAACGUCUACAUCUGGUCAGUAGUUUUAACUUAGAGAAAGCUGUACCCGAACCUCAGAGGUCUCUGACCUGACCGUUUAGUCCACGUCUCAUAAGCUACAUGAUUCAUAUCCGUUUACUGGCUGUCUUCGGGUUCUUGGAUAAGAUCGUUUCCGUCACCUGUGUUCGUUGGCUGGUACCUGUAAGCUACGAAGGCACGUGCUAGAACUUUGGUACCGCCAUACCGUAACUUCAAGUCGUAACUAAGCAACAAGGACUGCAAUUACAUUACAGUAGCCAGUGUAAAUAAAUAAAGAAAAUAGGAAUAUCUAAACUCCUUAAAAAUUAAAACGUAUGUAAAUUAACCACGACCUUCAAUGUUCAACUAAUCAGAUGAUUUAGUGCGUAAACUAAUCAGUUCAUUCAGAGUGUUAAAAAUUAGAUGAUUUAGUGUAUAACUAAUCAGUUCAUUCAGAGUGUUAACAAAUCAGCUGGGAUAUUGUGUAAGUAAU
rnacentral:lncRNA from 1 species